UUGCUUCAGCAGCACAUAUCUUGAAAUUAAAAUGAUACAGAGAAGAUUUGCAUGAUCCCAAGCAAGGAUGACAUGCAAAUUUGUGACGUGUCCCAUAUUUUU